rnacentral:lncRNA from 1 species
UUUGUGGCCUCUUUUCUGAAAAGAAUAUUUCUUUUUCUAUUUGUUUAUUUUAUUAGUGUCUUCACUUCUACUUUAGUAACCACCUCCAGGGCAGCCUGUUUUUUCUGAAAAGAACAGAAACUAUCAUCAACAGAGGAAUCAAUUGAAAAGUUUGGAAAACUUCCUGUCCAACAGACAUCCCUGUGGGUCUUCCCAUACCAGCAAACAAGGGAUGUCAUCACUUGGACUCCUCUAUAGGGUUUUUCUUCUUCCUUUGUAUUUUGAAAAUACCCCAUUGGACAUGCUCCAUGACAAUGAUGAAGAGAAAGCUGACCUAUAACUGUGACACCCCAACAGUCUGUUUUGUAACUUCAAAUUGAAAGGAGUAGCAACGUGC